AACGAACGCUGGCGGCAGGCUUAACACAUGCAAGUCGAGCGCCCCGCAAGGGGAGCGGCAGACGGGUGAGUAACGCGUGGGAACGUACCUUUUGGUUCGGAACAACUCCGGGAAACUGGAGCUAAUACCGGAUAAGCCCUAACGGGGAAAGAUUUAUCGCCGAAAGAUCGGCCCGCGUCUGAUUAGCUAGUUGGUGAGGUAACGGCUCACCAAGGCGACGAUCAGUAGCUGGUCUGAGAGGAUGAUCAGCCACACUGGGACUGAGACACGGCCCAGACUCCUACGGGAGGCAGCAGUGGGGAAUAUUGGACAAAGGGCGCAAGCCUGAUCCAGCCAUGCCGCGUGAGUGAUGAAGGCCUUAGGGUUGUAAAGCUCUUUUGUCCGGGAAGAUAAUGACUGUACCGGAAGAAUAAGCCCCGGCUAACUUCGUG
rnacentral:rRNA from 1 species